UACGGGGGGGGCAAGCGUUGUUCGGAAUUACUGGGCGUAAAGGGCUCGUAGGUGGCCAACUAAGUCAGACGUGAAAUCCCUCGGCUUAACCGGGGAACUGCGUCUGAUACUGGAUGGCUUGAGUUUGGGAGAGGGAUGCGGAAUUCCAGGUGUAGCGGUGAAAUGCGUAGAUAUCUGGAGGAACACCGGUGGCGAAAGCGUUCUGCUAGGCCUGUACUGACACUGAGGGACGAAAGCUAGGGGAGCGAAUGGG
rnacentral:rRNA from 1 species